GUGGGGAAUUUUGGACAAUGGGCGCAAGCCUGAUCCAGCAAUGCCGCGUGCAGGAAGAAGGCCUUCGGGUUGUAAACUGCUUUUGUACGGAACGAAACGGUCCUGGUUAAUACCUGGGGCUAAUGACGGUACCGUAAGAAUAAGCACCGGCUAACUACGUGCCAGCAGCCGCGGGAAUACGUAGGGUGUGAGCGUUAAUCGGAAUUACUGGGCGUAAAGCGUGCGCAGGCGGUGCUGUAAGACAGGCGUGAAAUCCCCGGGCUCAACCUGGGAAUUGCGCUUGUGACUGCAGUGCUGGAGUACGGCAGAGGGGGAUGGAAUUCCGCGUGUAGCAGUGAAAUGCGUAGAUAUGCGGAGGAACACCGAUGGCGAAGGCAGUCCCCUGGGCCUGUACUGACGCUCAUGCACGAAAGCGUGGGGAGCAAACAGGAUUAGAUACCCCGGUAGUCU
rnacentral:rRNA from 1 species